ACUCUUCUAUUUUACAGAAGAGGAUUCUGAAGUCUAGAGAAGGGGAAGGACUCAGUCUGCGUGGGAAGAGGAUGCGCAGAAUUACAGAAGGGGCUCAAGGGUGUAGAACAAGGAAAGAGCCUGUGGGGUCCCCAAUAGCAUCUCUAUGAGGUUCACCAAAUAUUUGUUGAAAGAAGAAAGCUUCCUAAUGGCCACAUCCCUGGGGUGUCUGAAUGUAUCCAGGCCACACCACGCACCUGUGGCUGAACCACAUAGCUGGGCCACAUCCCCAACCCCCUCCUUGCUGGGAACUGUGCAGAAGUCAGCAGCCAGAGGAAGAGCUGUUUCCCGUGCAGCUCUAAGUGGGGGCUGUCCCUGGACACAUUCUGCUUUGGAGAAGAGCCCUCAGGAGGAAGAGAAGGGAUGGAGAAGAUCAAAGCCCAAGUAUUUCAAAAAACAAAGAAGAAGACCUUGUUCUUCCAGCUAUCUAAAACUGCUAAAACUGAACUCCACUGGAUCACAGGGAGGAGAGAGAACCUCUUUCCUAAAGAACUUUAUUAGCAUUUAAAUGUGCCCCAGUCUAUCUUGAAAACAACCCCCCUCCCCCCGCCCCGCCGAGCUACAGCUCUCCUCAGCAGCCCCAUCCCAUUUGGUUUAAGCCCCACAGAAAAGGUUCUCUCCAAGGUCACACAGCCCAAGGCCUUGUCAAUCUCCUCCCUGCUUGCCUGCUCAAACACAUUGAGUCCCUCAGUCCUCUAGCUUCUGUGACUUCAUUCAGCCUCCAGCCGUCCUCAGGCCUCCUGGGCUGUGCUGUGCUGGAGACUCUUCCCUCCAUCAGCAGUUCUGGCUCUCAGUCACCCAUGGGGGCCACUCCACUUGUGUGAAACACAUUCACCUUCAAAUUGUCUCUGCUCCCAAACCUACUCCUCCAGUCUCCCUGCUUCAUGGGGUGAGGUGGAGGUUGUGGGGAGGAGGUACCCAAGGGCAGACAAUCCUUCACUUUUUCUCCCUCACCUUUGGCACUCCAUCAGUUGCCAAAGCCUGACACUUUGACCUCCCACAUUUCUGGUGGCCCCACUUCGCUCCGUUCCCAUGGCCACCACCUCCCCGGACUCGUGCGGUGGCCUCCUGGUUAGUCUCCCAGCAACUUCUCUGGCUGGACACCAGUCCUUUCUUCAUACCACAGCCAGUGUGACCUUCAAACAAUGCAAAUAUUAGCAGGUCAGCUGUUUCAUCCAACCCUUCAAAGGCUCCCAGAGCCCUUAGGCUAAAGGGCUGACCACAGAGGCUUAAAUCUUCCUCUGGCUGCCUCUCUAGGCUCCAACCUUCCUGGUCUUUUAAUUCCUCAAAGAUGCCAGUAUCAUCUCUGUGAGACUUAGCUCUUUGCUGGAAUGUACCCUCUAUCUGCAGCUCUGUAGCUCUUUGCUGGAACGUACGCUCUAUCUGCAGCUCUGUCUAGGGAAUGCCUAUUCCUUUCACAUACUUAGAUAGUCCUUGAAUCCCUAGACUGGGUUGCAGGCUCCCCCAAACUCCCUAUGUUCCCUGUUUGUUAACAUUUAUCAUGCUUGUAAUUCUUUGUUUGAUCUGGGACACGGCAGAUGUUUAAUCAAUGAUUAUCUGUUGAAGACACGAGGCUUCUGCCCUGGUGGUGGAGGGGUGUGUGUGAUGUAUUAGGAGCUAAGGCCUUUGGGCAGUGAUAGGUCAUAAGGGUGGGAUCCUUGUGAAUGAGAUUAAUGCUCUUACAAAAGGGAAUCCAGAGAACUCCCUUGGCUCCUCUACCAUGUGAAGUUAUAGCAAGAAGACGAACAUCUGUGAACAAGGAAGUGGGCUCUCACCAGACAUUGAAUCUGCUCGUGCCUUUAUCUUGGGCUUC